rnacentral:rRNA from 1 species
AAUCAACGCUGGCGGCGUGCCUCAGACAUGCAAGUCGAACGCGAAAGUUUCCUUCGGGGAACAAGUAGAGUGGCGCACGGGUGAGUAACACGUAGGUAAUCUACCUUUGGAUGGGGAAUAACAAUCGGAAACGGUUGCUAAUACCGCAUAAUGCAGCGGCACCUAAUGGUGACAGUUGUUAAAGCGGGGGAGUCGAAAGACCUCGCGUCUGAAGAGGAGCCUGCGGCGGAUUAGCAGUUGGUAAGGUAAUGGCUUACCAAGGCUACGAUCCGUAACCGGCCUGAGAGGGCGGUCGGUCACACUGACACUGACAUACGGGUCAGACUCCUACGGGAGGCAGCAGUCGGG